rnacentral:rRNA from 1 species
GUAGGUGGCAAGCGUUGUCCGGAAUUAUUGGGCGUAAAGCGCGCGCAGGUGGUUCGUUUAAGUCUGAUGUGAAAGCCCCCGGGCUCAACCGGGGAGGGUCAUUGGAAACUGGGGAACUUGAGUGCAGGAGAGGAAAGUGGAAUUCCACGUGUAGCGGUGAAAUGCGUAGAUAUGUGGAGGAACACCAGUGGCGAAGGCGACUUUCUGGCCUGUAACUGACACUGAGGCGCGAAAGCGUGGGGAGCAAACAGGAUUAGAUACCCUGGUAGUCCACGCCGUAAACGAUGAGUGCUAAGUGUUGGGGGGUUUCCGCCCCUCAGUGCUGCAGCUGACGCAUUAAGCACUCCGCCUGGGGAGUACGGUCGCAAGACUG